UCCUGGCUCAGGACGAACGCUGGCGGCGUGCUUAACACAUGCAAGUCGAACGGUGAAGCUUCGGGGUGGAUCAGUGGCGAACGGGUGAGUAACACGUGAGUAAUCUGCCCUUGACUCUGGGAUAACUUCGGGAAACCGGAGCUAAUACCGGAUAUGACACAUAGCCGCAUGGUUUGUGUGUGGAAAGAUUUAUCGGUCAAGGAUGAGCUCGCGGCCUAUCAGCUUGUUGGUGGGGUAAUGGCCUACCAAGGCGACGACGGGUAGCCGGCCUGAGAGGGCGACCGGCCACACUGGACUGAGACACGGCCCAGACUCUACGGGAGGCAGCAGUGGGGAAUAUUGCGCAAUGGGCGAAAGCCUGACGCAGCGACGCCGCGUGAGGGAUGAAGGCUUCGGGUCGUAAACCUCUUUCAGCAGGGAAGAAGCGAAAGUGACGGUACCUGCAGAAGAAGCACCGGCUAACUACGUGCCAGCAGCCGCGGUAAUACGUAGGGUGCAAGCGUUGUCCGGAAUUAUUGGGCGUAAAGAGCUCGUAGGCGGUCUGUCGCGUCUGCUGUGAAAACUCAGGGCUUAACCCUGAGCUUGCAGUGGGUACGGGCAGACUAGAGUGCGGUAGGGGAGACUGGAAUUCCUGGUGUAGCGGUGAAAUGCGCAGAUAUCAGGAGGAACACCGGUGGCGAAGGCGGGUCUCUGGGCCGUAACUGACGCUGAGGAGCGAAAGCAUGGGGAGCGAACAGGAUUAGAUACCCUGGUAGUCCAUGCCGUAAACGUUGGGCGCUAGGUGUGGGGCUCAUUCCACGAGUUCCGUGCCGCACUAACGCAUUAAGCGCCCCGCCUGGGGAGUACGGCCGCAAGGCUAAAACUCAAAGGAAUUG
rnacentral:rRNA from 1 species